rnacentral:rRNA from 1 species
GCUGCUUCGCUGACGAGUGGCGGACGGGUAGAGUAAUGUCUGGGAAACUGCCUGAUGGAGGGGGAUAACUACUGGAAACGGUAGCUAAUACCGCAUAACGUCGCAAGACCAAAGAGGGGGACCUUCGGGCCUCUUGCCAUCGGAUGUGCCCAGAUGGGAUUAGCUAGUAGGUGGGGUAACGGCUCACCUAGGCGACGAUCCC